rnacentral:misc_RNA from 1 species
UAGCUGCGAGACUUAAUGUGAAUUGCAGACACAUUGAUCAUCGACAUUUUGAACGCAUAUUGCGGCGCCGGGUAUCAUUCCCAGCGCCACAUUUGUCUGAGGGUCGCUUUUCGAAGCUAUCGUCUUUUCUCCGAUGCCUCUUGAGAGAGCUCGUCCCGCCGCCUCUUUCCGACCGGGGAUGAAUCUCUCGCCGACCUGGAGAUUGACGCUUUGGCGAGCUGCAGAACGGCUUUUGGUCCGAAGCGAUCUUUUCGGACUGUUUCUGUACCUCGCUCGAAUGCAGAGCGCUGCCUGCGCCUCUUGGGUAGCUACAUUGCCUCGUGAAUGACAGGCCGCUCUCUGUCGAUCUACGGAGGGCCUUUAGCGGCUAUCGUCAGCUCACUUCACGACCUCAGAUCAA